rnacentral:rRNA from 1 species
UACGUAGGGGGCAAGCGUUGUCCGGAAUCAUUGGGCGUAAAGAGCGUGUAGGUGGCUUUUCAAGUCCGCCGUCAAAUCCCAGGGCUCAACCCUGGACAGGCGGUGGAAACUGCCAAGCUGGAGUACGGUAGGGGCAGAGGGAAUUUCCGGUGGAGCGGUGAAAUGCGUAGAGAUCGGAAAGAACACCGGUGGCGAAGGCGGCAUCCUGGACCGGCAUUGACGCUGAGGAGCGAAAGCCAGGGGAGCAAACGGG